rnacentral:rRNA from 1 species
AACGAACGCUGGCGGCAGGCCUAACACAUGCAAGUCGAACGCUGUAGCAAUACAGAGUGGCGCACGGGUGCGUAACGCGUGGGAAUAUACCCUUGGGUGCGGCACAACGUCGGGAAACUGACGCUAAUACCGCAUAAUGUCUCCGGACCAAAGAUUUAUCGCCUAAGGAUUAGCCCGCGUUGGAUUAGCUAGUUGGUGAGGUAAAGGCUCACCAAGGCUACGAUCCAUAGCUGGUCUGAGAGGAUGAUCAGCCACACUGGGACUGAGACACGGCCCAGACUCCGACGGGAGGCAGCAGUGAGGAAUAUUGGACAAUGGGGGCAACCCUGAUCCGGCCAUGCCGCGUGAGUGAUGAAGGCCUUCGGGUUGUAAAGCUCUUUUAGAUGUGACGAUGAUGACGGUAACAUCAGAAAAAGCCCCGGCUAACUUCGUGCCAGCCGCCGCGGUAA